GUGCCCCCACUACCUGCUCGACCGGACCUCUUUCGGUCGGAGGGGCUCACAGCAGGGGGACCUUUAUUUAUGGCUUCUGUCCGUUAGUGGAACCGUGGCGUUCUCCAGGUCUCCUCCUAGGCCUUUGACUAGUACUGUUCUGCAGGUCUCCUCCUAGGCCUUUGACUAGUACUGUUCUGCAGGUCUCCUCCUAGGCCUUUGACUAGUACUGUUCUGCAGGUCUCCUCCUAGGCCUUUGACUAGUACUGUUCUGCAGGUCUCCUCCUAGGCCUCUGACUGUCGUCAGGAAGCAGGGAGGAUUCAGGGUAUCUUCGUCAAGGACGCCCACAGUCAAAUACUGAGCAGGGUGUCAAACCUCCUAAUUACUAGACUGUCCUGCUUGCUAAUUGAAGGGGAUAUUGAUUUAUUGCAUUGGGACCCGUCUCUACUUAAGUUUUAAGUAAAGCAACAAAAAUCAACAUCCUCUAAAAUUGUGAUUUAUCGGUCUACAAAAAGAUGUCUCCCUUUGCCUUUGUCUUUUACUACUGGGAAAUGUAUUUCAGGUUUGAACCCCCAUAAAAACUAAACAACACAAUAACAUAAUAAAAUAAUUUUCAUCAUUUUCUGCAGUUGCAAUAAAAGUUACAACCACAGUUUCCCAACAACCGUAACCUUUACCUGGAAGCAGCUCCACUCCGCUGAAGGCUUAAUGUGCACCAUAAUGACCAACAUAAUUCCUAUUUAUCUUACUUUUCCAGCAUAAGAAUAAUCACACAUUAUUCAAAGUGGAGGCAGGCUGCUGGCCCAUCUCCCUAUCACAGGGACAGGAACCGACUGCCAAGAAGCAGCGCUCCUUAGAAGGCUGUACAUAGCCCCCAGCGGCUGACCCCCCCACAUCCCCAAACACUGCGUCAGAGCAUUCAGUGAAGGGGGGGCCCAUCAACACUAAUUAAAGACAGCGCCCAAACACACAUUCCUG
ensembl:lncRNA